ensembl:snRNA U6 U6 spliceosomal RNA
GUGCUCACUUCGGCAGCACAUAUACUAAAAUUGGAACACUACAGAGAAAAUUAGCAUUGCCCCUGUGCAAAGAUGCCACAAAAAUUCAUGAAGCAUUCCAUAUUUUU